rnacentral:lncRNA from 1 species
CUGCUCUGCCUAUGGAAUAGCCUUUCUAUAUUCCUUUACUUUCUUCAUAAACUUACUUUCACUUUACUCUAUGGACUUGUCUUGAAUUCUUUCUUGCAUGAGAUUCAAGAACCAUCUCUUGGGGUCUGGACUGGGACUCUUUUCCAUAACAUGAGGACUUGUUAAGAUCACCCUUGGUGCCUUCUGCAGGGAAACAAGAAGGAAUUCUAUGUAUUGUCUAAAGAUCCAGACAGGCAGUGAAGGCUUCCUGGAGGAGGUAAGCCUGAGCUUAGCUUUGAUGCUUAGCUGGUGCGGAGGUGGGCAGUGCAGGAAGGGAGAGCAGGACAUCCAGUCUCUAUGCUCGAGCCCCUCCCUCAGCAAGAAGGUUGGCCAUGAACCACAGAUGACUCCAUGGCUACAGCAAAUUAUUUUUGAAGGCACUACUAGCAAACAGCUUAAUUGCACCAGGCAAUCCCUGCCAUCUCUUCCAUAGACAAAUAGCUUCCAAAGAAGGCAUUAAUUGGAGUGGUUUAAAUAGCUGUUGUUUAUUUACUAUCACAGAGCCGGCAACUGUUUUGAGCACCCAGUAGAAAGGACUGCCUGAAUUUCCACCCCUACCCUCUUUUCCUCACCUCCCCAUCCAGCCCAACAAGCCCCUCCAAUCUGACUACCUCCUCCUUCCCUCCUUUUGGGAGCACUGCUGGAUCAGCCUUUUUAUUUUAUGUCGCCUGAUUUAUCUGUUCUGGGAAGCUUUCAUCUCAACUUGGAGAAUGUUCAAAGUAAAGCUCACCCUGUUACAGACUUAAUUGGACCAUAUUUCAGUCCCAGUGCAUCUGUUCAGUGUGGCUUCCGUAUCCUGGGUCCAUAAACUUUUAUUAAGUUAUAUAUCAGGGAAUAUACACAUAUAUUCCACUAACAUGUUUGGGAUCUUUUUUCUCCUUUUCCUUUUUUUCCCCCUCUCCUUUUCUUUAUGUUGUUUUUAUUUUCACCACUGGGGAGGGAUACCUAUGGGCUCAGAGGGAGAUGGAAUAGAAUUUACUAGAUUUCCCUAUCUUUGUUUAAACCAGAAAGGACAGGAUCACAUUAACCUCAAUUUAGUACAGCGACUAGAUGUCUGAGUCGGGAUUCUGCUAAUUUCCAUUCGGUUUACUGGGUAUGUUUGAUAUGCUAAUUCUCAACACCCAUCUCCCCAAGCUCUCCAAGAAAUUUGCUUUUCAAUAGCCCUGCUUAAGCGGGGGAGGAGAGAGAGAUAAGUGAAAGGGAUAAUUUUGAAAAAGAAAACAGACUUAAAGCGGAACAGCAACAACUGUUUGCUCAAUCCUGUUUACUAAUUUGAAAUAACAGUUUAAAAUAGAUGUGAAAUACCAUGCCACCGGAGGGAAAACGUAUCUCUGCCCUUGGGCCCAAGUGUUUCCGGAUUUGACAGUCUGGGUUGAGCGCUUUGAUUGGUUGACCUGGUACUGACGUCACAAUUGUUCAAAUCUGCUGGAAGGAAAAUUCCUCCCCUUGAACGUUGUCCUAGAUCAUCUCUAGUGCUUGGGUUGAGACCUUUCUGAACCAGGUGACAGAGGGUAAUGGAGAAAGGUUUUCCCAAGAGAAACUCUGGGAAGCCAUUGACGAGCAGAAAGCGCGCGGAGUGGCAGGGGUCAUUACCGUCGUUACUGGCAGUAAUGAUGCGGCUGGUUCCACGUGAUGAGAGCUUCCUGCUUUCCAGUAUGUGCAGCAAAACUCAGAUUAAGAUUUUGGUGCUGGUGUCCACUGAAUUUUAAAAGCUCAUCAAAAUUCCCAAGGCCGGGUGCAACCUUUUCAAGUGUGGCUCUAACCUGCAUCUAUCUAAGCACCAGUCAAGCCCGUUGCAUCCACAGCUCAACUUCAGGCCUUGGGGAGCAUUUUUCUAAUAGAUUUUGAGGUCCCACUGUGCCUUCACCAGGACAUACUGUUCCACUCCUGCGUGCCACCCCUACGUAUUUACUGAUCUUCUUAAGUCAUUCUCUAGUUUUUUACUCCAUCCGUCAGCACCAUGGUGAUCUUCACCUACUGUUUGUUCCUGGAACCCUGGGCAGGAAUCUGCCAUUCACGUUCAUAAGAGCUCUCCGGGUCUUCCUCAACAAUAUCUUCUUGGAUGCCCUUUAUUUAAAGUUUGUAAAGAAAGGAGAACUUACAGGAUAAUCAGGCAGCUCUGGGACUGAAUCCCAGCUUCACCAUUAGUUCUGAGGCUUCAGACAAGUUAUUUAACCUCCCUGAGCCUGGGUGAAACGGAUAUAAUUUAAUUACCCUACAGGGUAUCUUGAGAUUUAGUGAUAGUGUAUCUAAAAGCAUUUAGUGCAGAGCCAGGCUCGUGGAUACGUUAAUAAUAAUAUUUUAUUAAGAGUAUCAUUAUAACAUUACUAUUAUCGUGACCAUAUUGUUUUGUUAUUAUUAUGAUUAUGUUAUAUUCUUAUUUUACUAUUAUGACAGUCAUGUGCCGCAUAACAACAUUUAGUCAAUGAUGGAUCACAAACAUGACAGUGGUCCUAUAAGAGCUCACUUCCUUGCUUCUGCUUUCACUAUAUUAUGUGUCUGCUCCCUCUUUGCCUUCUGCAAAUUUAGUGUAGCCUCAGUGUGCCAUAUUUAUAAAGCCUACAGUGUUGUACAGUAGUGUCCUAGGCCUUCACAUUCACUCACCAUGCACUCCCUGACUCACCCAGAGCAACUUCCAGUCCUUCAAGCUCCAUCCAUGCUGGAACUGAGCUUUUGCUUGCCAUCCACCACUGCUGCUGGUCAACGUGGCAGACCCGCCACUGACAUCCAUCCCUCCGGAUCCGUCAGGGUGUCCGCUGUGCUCCUGAUCCACUGAGGCGCCCAUUGCUGCUCCCCAUCCGGCUAAAGGCUUGCCAUUGUUCCUGCACGGCUAAGUGCCCAGCUUCGUCCUAAUGGAGCUGAACACUAGUCACUGGGUUCCACGGUUCUCUUCCGUGACCCACGGCUUCUAAUAGAGCUAUAACACGCACGGCAUGGCCCAAGAUUCCAUUCCUUGGAAUCCGUGAGGCCAAGAACCCCACGUCAGAGAACAAGAGGCUUGCCACCAUCUUGGAAGCAGCCCGCCGCCAUUUUGGAAGCAGCCCACCACCAUCUUGGGAGCUCUGGGAGCAAGGACUCCCGCAACAAUACUUACCACUGUGUUACAACUACCUAUUCAGUCUAGUAACCUGCUGUAGAGGUAUGUGGCCGAGAAGCAGUAGAGGAUAUCAUACAGCCUAGGUGUGCAGUAGGCUAUACUCUCUAGGUUUGUGUAAGUACACUCUGCGGUGUUCAAAGGGUGUUGAAAUUGUCUAACGUUGAAUUUCUUAGAACGUAUCCCCAUCAUUAAGCAACAUAUGACUGUAUUAUUAUUAUUAUUAUUUUACACAUGAGGAAAUUGAUUUGAGAGUUUCAUUCCUCCAAUGUCAAUUUUAGAAUUCUGUUUACUGAAAAUCCUAAAUUGUGGAUAUGCCCAAAGCCCUGUGUGAGGUAAUGGAGAUAGAAGACGAACACAGAGUUCCUUCUGACUAGGAAUUCUGGGUGUAGUGGCUGAAGGGGACCAGGCAGAGGGAGUGUGAGGGAGGGGAAUUAAGGGGGUGGGGAAGGCGCAUGAAAGGAGCACACUUCAUCCAUAAACCACCACAGCACCACAAAGUGCUCUAAGUGAAAUGCACUGAAGCAUUUGGGAGUGUAGAGGAGUGGCUGCCUGGUAGACUGGAAGUGCCAUCUGAACAGCCGUGUUACUACAGAUGGGUUUUGAUAAAGGAACGUGUGUUACCAGGCUGGAAAUUAAUAAAUGGCAUCAAAAGAGGAAAUAAAUGAUAUAUACAAAAGUCUGAAGAUGAAGGAUGUAUUAGGGACUUGCUAGAAGUUCAGUGUGAUAGGAGUAUUGGGUGUGCAGGUAUAAUAGAAGUGAGUACAAGGUGAGGUUGAAAACUCAGUGUAUUAGUUAUCUAUUACUGCUUAAUAAACUGCCCUAAAACCUAGCUUAAAGCAACAAAUGUUUAUCAUCUCACAGCCUCUGUAGAACAAGAAUUCAGGCCCACUUCAGCUGGUGCCUCUGGUUCCAGCUCUUAUCUCUAAGGAGGCUGCAAUUGAGGUGUCAGCCAGGGCUGCAGUCAUCUCAAGCAUCCAUGGAUGUGAGGGGGAUUAUCUGCUCCAAGCUCACUCAAGUGGCUGUUGGCAGGAUUCGCUUCUGCACUAGCUGCUGGCUUGAGAACUCCCUCAGCUCCUGGCCCUGUAGGCCUCUCUAUGGGGCAGCACCCAACAGGACAGCUGCUGCCAGCAGGGUGAGUAAACAAGAGAUCAAGAGAAUUAUCUGGUGCCAGCAAGAUGGAAGUCAAGGUCCUUUCUAACCUUAGACAUGACAUCCCACUCUGUUUGCCAUAUUCUAUUUGCUAGAGGAGUGUCCCUAGAUUUAACUCACAUUCCAUGGCAAGGGAUGACACAGGGGGUAAAUACCAGGAGAAGGGGACCAUUGGGCCACCUUGGAAAACUGUCCACCGUGUGUACGUAGGGGGAAGCUCAUAAAGGAAUUUAUAUGCUUGACGAAGGAAUGUGUGCUUUAUUUUAAGAGGCACGAGAAGCUACUAAAAGAACUUCAGGGAUGGGGAGUGGAGAUUGACACUUUAGGUAGGAUCACUCUUACAGAAGUGGGGAGAGAGGAUUCCAGUGGGAGACUCUGGAGGGACGAGGCUAGUUGGAAGCCUGCGGGAUUAGACGCAGGAGAUGAUGGGAGCUUGACCCAAGGCAAGGAGAGACGAUGCAGAGAGAAGGGUUCAGGUUGCAGAGCAUUUCAUAAGCAGAAACAAUGAAUCUGUCUUGGUGACUGGCUGGGGAAGAGAAGCAAAUCAACCUACCUCCAGGUGGAUGAACUGUGAUCAUACCACUGUACUCCAGCCAGGGUGACAGAGUGAGAUCUUGUCGCAAAAAAUAAAAUAAAACAAAACACAACAAAAAUCUUACUAUAUACCUACAGAUGAGCGGGAUACUUUAACUACAGUUAAGUUCAUCCUCUAGCCCUGCCUUCUCUGACAGCUGCUGCAUAUUAAAAGCACUUUAGU